rnacentral:tRNA from 1 species
GGCGUUGUAGCUUAGCGGUAUGAGCGGCUGACUCGUAAUCAGCAGGCCGGGGGUUCAAUCCCCCCCAACGCCU